rnacentral:rRNA from 1 species
AGCUCCAAUAGCGUAUAUUUAAGUUGCUGCGGUUAAAAAGCUCGUAGUCGGAUCUCGGGAGCCGACCAGCCGGUCCGCCUUCGGUGAGUACUGGUUGGUUGCUCCUUAUUGCUGCAAUACGCGUAUGUUGCCUUUACGGUCGCGUACGCGGGUUGCAGUGGCGUCACUUUGAGUAAAUUAGGGUGUUCAAAGCAGGCUUUAUGCAUUGAAUACGCUAGCAUGGGAUGACACGAUAGGUCUUCGGUCUAUCUUGUCGGUCUGUAGGCUGAAGAAAUGAUGAAGAGGGACAGUCGGGGGCAUUCGUAUUUCGUGGUCAGAGGUGAAAUUCUUGGAUUCACGGAAGACGAACAUCUGCGAAAGCAUUUGCCAAGGAUGUUUUCA